AGAGACAACAUAAACAAAAAUUUAAAGUAGAGGGUUGAA
rnacentral:misc_RNA from 1 species